rfam:Triticum aestivum genome assembly, contig: Triticum_aestivum_CS42_TGACv1_scaffold_034975_1BL
AUAGUACUCCCUCCGUCCGGAAUUAUUUGUCGCGGGAAUGGAUGAAAAUAAAUGUAUCUAGAACUAAAUUAUGUCUAGAUACAUUCAUUUCUCCGACGAAUAUUUCCGGACGGAGGGAGUACAUG